UUCCUACGGGAGGCAGCAGUGGGGAAUUUUGGACAAUGGGCGAAAGCCUGAUCCAGCAAUGCCGCGUGCAGGAUGAAGGCCCUCGGGUUGUAAACUGCUUUUGUACGGAACGAAAAGCCUGGGGCUAAUAUCCCCGGGUCAUGACGGUACCGUAAGAAUAAGCACCGGCUAACUACGUGCCAGCAGCCGCGGUAAUACGUAGGGUGCAAGCGUUAAUCGGAAUUACUGGGCGUAAAGCGUGCGCAGGCGGUUUUGUAAGACAGUGGUGAAAUCCCCGGGCUCAACCUGGGAACUGCCAUUGUGACUGCAAGGCUAGAGUGCGGCAGAGGGGGAUGGAAUUCCGCGUGUAGCAGUGAAAUGCGUAGAUAUGCGGAGGAACACCGAUGGCGAAGGCAAUCCCCUGGGCCUGCACUGACGCUCAUGCACGAAAGCGUGGGGAGCAAACAGGAUUAGAUACCCUGGUAGUCCACGCCCUAAACGAUGUCAACUGGUUGUUGGGUCUUAACUGACUCAGUAACGAAGCUAACGCGUGAAGUUGACCGCCUGGGGAGUACGGCCGCAAGGUUGAAACUCAAAUGAAUUGACGG
rnacentral:rRNA from 1 species